UCCUACGGGAGGCAGCAGUGGGGAAUUUUGGACAAUGGGCGAAAGCCUGAUCCAGCCAUGCCGCGUGCAGGAUGAAGGCCUUCGGGUUGUAAACUGCUUUUGUACGGAACGAAAAGACUCUGGUUAAUACCUGGGGUCCAUGACGGUACCGUAAGAAUAAGCACCGGCUAACUACGUGCCAGCAGCCGCGGUAAUACGUAGGGUGCAAGCGUUAAUCGGAAUUACUGGGCGUAAAGCGUGCGCAGGCGGUUAUAUAAGACAGAUGUGAAAUCCCCGGGCUCAACCUGGGAACUGCAUUUGUGACUGUAUAGCUAGAGUACGGCAGAGGGGGAUGGAAUUCCGCGUGUAGCAGUGAAAUGCGUAGAUAUGCGGAGGAACACCGAUGGCGAAGGCAAUCCCCUGGGCCUGUACUGACGCUCAUGCACGAAAGCGUGGGGAGCAAACAGGAUUAGAUACCUUGGUAGUCCACGCCCUAAACGAUGUCAACUGGUUGUUGGGUCUUCACUGACUCAGUAACGAAGCUAACGCGUGAAGUUGACCGCCUGGGGAGUACGGCCGCAAGGUUGAAACUCAAAUGAAUUGACGGA
rnacentral:rRNA from 1 species